CCUACGGGUGGCAGCAGUGAGGAAUAUUGGUCAAUGGACGAGAGUCUGAACUAGCCAAGUAGCGUGAAGGAUGACUGCCCUAUGGGUUGUAAACUUCUUUUAUAUGGGAAUAAAAUGUUCCACGUGUGGGCUUUUGUAUGUACCAUAUGAAUAAGGAUCGGCUAACUCCGUGCCAGCAGCCGCGGUAAUACGGAGGAUCCGAGCGUUAUCCGGAUUUAUUGGGUUUAAAGGGAGCGUAGGUGGAUUGUUAAGUCAGUUGUGAAAGUUUGCGGCUCAACCGUAAAAUUGCAGUUGAAACUGGCAGUCUUGAGUACAGUAGAGGUGGGCGGAAUUCGUGGUGUAGCGGUGAAAUGCUUAGAUAUCACGAAGAACUCCGAUUGCGAAGGCAGCUCACUGGACUGCAACUGACACUGAGGCUCGAAAGUGUGGGUAUCAAACAGGAUUAGAUACCCUAGUAGUC
rnacentral:rRNA from 1 species